GUAAGUCAAAUUAAGUCUUUUUCUUAUAAUUUUUGAGUUUUUGGAAUCCUAGAGAUAAAUACUACUUGAUUUAUGUUGAUAUUUUGAAAGUUAGUAGAUUGUUAGACAUGAGUUAUGUUGAAUUAAUUGAUGAACUAGAGGUUAAAAUGAUUGAAUUUUAAGUUAGAAGUUAGUAAAAGAUUGAUUUGUAAAAUAAAAUAUAAGUUUUGAAUUGAUAGGGAUUAAAUUGAAAGAAUCCCGAAAUUAGGGAUUUAUGGGGAAAUUGAAGAAUUAAACUGAGUUUAUAGUAAGAAUAAGAGAUGAAGUUUAAUUUCCGAGCCUUGGGGUAAAAAUGUAAUUAUGUAAAAGUUUAGGGGCAAAAUUGUAAUUUUCAAAAAGUUAGAGUCGAGGGCUAUUUUAAUAAAUUUGAAUAUUAAAUAAGUUAAAUUUGCUAUUAUAGAUCAAGAAGAACGAAAUUCGGGAGUAGAUCGGGGAAAAGAAAAAGUAAAGGACUAAAUUGUAAAGUUUAGUCACAUUUUGUAUCAAGGUAAGUUUACAGUAAAUAAAUGCAAUAUUCUUUUAUUUUACAUUAUUAUUGUCAAUUUCCAGCAUUUAUAUAUUUAUGUUAUGAAAAUAUUUAAAGUCGAAUUUAAGGUGAAGUGACAGAGGAAAAGUGUUAGAAAGCCCCGGUUGAACCCUAGGAAUGUUAGGAUAUUAGGGUUGACAGGACAGUACAGAAAUGAGCCAUGUAAGUCCAUAUUAGAAAUAUGGCUUUGGAGACAGGAUUGAGCCAUGUAAGUCCAUAUUAUAUAUGGCAUUGGAGACAGGAAUAAUUCAUGUAAGUCCAUGUCAAAGACAUGGCAUUAGCAGGAUAUUGAAAGACAGGAACGACCCUAGUAUCCUUAGUAUUCCGAGUGGUUCAACGGGUCAGAAUACGAGUUAAAUUACAGUGAAUUAACAGCAAAGGAAAAGUAGAUUAUAUUUAUGAAAACGGAAAGGUCAGGUAAGAAAGAAGGUAAGGGAAUAAAGAAGAAGAUAGAAAUUGAGAAGUAAAGAAAUUUAUGAUGUUAGAUGAUAUUAUGCAUAAUUAUCCAUUAUGUUGAAUGUUGUGAUUUAUUUGCUUGUAAGCUUACUAAGCCUAGUGCUUAAUCUCUUUAUUUUCUUCUUCUUAUAGUACUUAUCUAGCCACUCGGGGAUCGAAGGAAACGUCGGAGGCCGAUCACACUAUCAAAGAAAUAACUCGGUAUAAUUAGACGUUUUGUUUUGUGUAUGGCAUGUAUAGAAACUUAGCUACUUUUGGUAUAAUAUGAACAAUGAGUGAUGUGUAAGUAGUUGAUGAUGUAUGGUUAUUAAAAUGAUUAAGGAUGAAGGUGUUUGUUGUUAUGAAAGAUUAGGUGAUAAAUUAUGCAUGGAAAUCAUGAAAGGAUAAAAUUUUGCAAAGAAACAGAAUUCAGGCAGCACAGUGACGUGAAUUUGAAAAAUCACCCAAGAUAGUAUAAAAUGAAUUAGAGGGUGAAUGAUAUAUGGAAUUAAAUCUUGUUGAGUCUAUUUUCAUGGAAAAAUAACGGUGUAGAAAAAAAAAAUUUAUAUUUUAAGAUAUGUGAAUUUUAGUAAGAUAGGGUCAGAACUGUUUUUGGAGUCCCCUAUUCUGAGUUUAGAAAAUAAUUACAAAUUGUACAAAAAUGGUUAUGAGUUGAAAUUUACAUGCUUAGAUUCCUUAAUGAGUCUAUUUUCUAUAGAAACAAGUAAGA
rnacentral:lncRNA from 1 species